UUUCAUACCUGAUCGGCUGUGACAAGAGGUUCCUGAUCUAGACAGGGAACGAUGAUGGAGUGCAUGUCCAGCUGCUCCCUCAGCUCAUCUUCGUCGGACAGCUCCGCUGCAUCAUCUGUCUCUCUCUAUUCAGGGACAGGAAAGUGGGGGAAGGGCAUUUAAUCAGACACAAUAAGACUUUGUGAGAUAAACAGAGCAGGGAUUUGAUGGCAGGAUGAGGGGAGGGGGAAAAGCGGGUGGUAGGAGGACGUGGUAGAGCUGCUCACAGGUCUCUCCUCGAGGUUGCAUGUAGAGAUGUAGAGGGAGCGCGUCCGACACCGUUUCCAGUCCACCGGCAUCACCUGGCCGUAGUUGGAAGCCAGAGCUUUCCAGAUCCUGCAGGAGAAAGAGGAAACAGACGUCAUGCUCUGCAAGCAGUUUCUCCAGGAGUUCUGCUCUUCUUCUUUUUUCUCCACCAUGAUAUCAUCUAGAGAAGAAACCCCACGUCAUGAUGCUGCCACCGCCGUGUUUAACCAUGAUGCAAUCAGGCAUGUAGUUGCAUAUGGAUGCUGCUGCUGGCAGGCCGAUCACAACCGGUCACUCACUCGUCUUUCUCCAGCAGCGUCUCGUCGGUGAAGCCGCUCACUGGACCGAUCAUCUCCGCUUUGGGUUCAACGUCUCCAAAGCAUCCCGAUAGCCUCUCACCCACACCGUGAACCAGUUCCUCCGUGGAUCUGCACCAACGGGAUUCCUCCGGGGGACCGUCAGUCUGUCCCGCAGGAUCAUCGCGGUCCAGGAGGAUCUGAGCCUCCGAUGCCUCUGCGGAGGGACGGAGCGCCGCUCGGCCGCUCAGAGACACCGAACCUGCCCUCAGAUCCUGCAGGUUCGGUCGGUUAUCGUCGAAAUGUGCGGUUGGUGCAUCCAUAACCCGGACCAUGCUAACCGGCCCGGGUGAAUGAUGGGUUUAUCGGUGCAGGAACUGCAGGCCUCAUCCUCUCUGUGUGUCUGAGCCAGGCUGCAGCACCGGCUGGGCCCACUAGGGGUCACACCAGCAUGUUUGCAUCUAAUAUUUCACCAGAUUGAUCACAACAAACAAAUAAAUCAUGCUUUUCUCCGUUAAUCCAUUCAUAUUUUAACUGAACCAGGAUUGCACUUUUCUGUUGACCUGCUUAUAUGACCAGAAAAUAACUUUUCUGUUAAAAAGCACAUGAUUAUUUAAAUCCAAUAAUCAGACAACUGGAACAAAAACCCACAAACCUGAUAUAUUAUUAUGCAUGUAAUGGAUUUAUUGUUAUUUUUUGGUUGUUGUUUGUUUGUUUUUAAUAAACACGCAUUUUUCUUUUCA